UCAAUAAAUACCGGAGGAGCGCACUUGCCUUCACGAGCUUUGUGGGACAAAAUGAUAUUACAGAAAAAAACGCGCUGGUUUCUGCUGCAUGUGCUUCUGCUGGGACUGAUGGCAGCAGUUUCAUUAGUGGAUCGCGGGCCAAGAAUAUCCAUAUAAGGUGACGUGGAGGGGGACCCCACUGCACUGGAAGGGGAUAUUGGUGACAUGGAGGGUGACCCCACUGCUGCUGAAGGUGACCUGGAGGGAGACCCCUCUUCCCUGGAAGGGGAUAUAGGUGACGUGAAGGGUGACCCCACUGCUGCUGAAGGAGACGUGGAGGGGUUCUGGUGAGCUGUUACUGCUUUAGUGCUUGGAGUGACUGGAGGACUAUGUGAAUCCCUGGUCUUGGAUUGCUUUGAGAUGCCAAUAAACCUGUAUAAUUCAGA